rnacentral:rRNA from 1 species
AGAGUUUGAUCCUGGCUCAGAACGAACGUUGGCGGCGUGGAUUAGGCAUGCAAGUCGAACGAAUCCCGGCCGCGUAGCAAUACGGGGCCGGGGGAAGUGGCGAAAGGGGCAGUAAGGCAUGGCUAACCUACCCCGGGGACGGGCCUAGCCUCCCUAACGGGAGGGUAAUUCCCGGCGAUCCGGCCGAGGGGCAUCUUUCG